rnacentral:tRNA from 1 species
GGAGGGGCAGGGGUCCUGGUGGGCCUCGCAGUCUUCAAAACUGCCGACGGGCCUUGCGGCUCGUGGUGGGUUCGAUUCCCACUCCCCUCCGCCA